GGUAGCUGGGUGGCACAGUGGAUUGAGAGUUAAGCCCAGAGCUGGGAGGUCCUGGGCUCAAAUCUGGCCUCAGGCACUUCCUAGCUGUGUGACUCUGGGCAAGUCACUUAUCCCAUUGCCUAGCCCUUACCACUCUUCUGCCUUGGAACUAAUACCCAAAAUUGAUUCUAAGAUGGAAGGUAAGGGUUUAAAAAAAAAAAAGAAACAUUCCCAGAAUAGGUGGCACCACUAGGACCAACUUGAGGACCUUAGCAAGUGAGACCUAGGGGAACCAAGCAUUGUCUGUAUCCUUGGAGGGAACACCUACAUUGAUGAGAUCACACAUCUCUUGGGAAUCUUGCAGUAUUUAAUGAGUAAUUCAAUUCAACAAACCUUUAUUAAGCACCUCCUAUGUACCAGGUUUCUAGGAUUACAAAUCUACAGUUGAAAAUGGUUUCUUUCCUCAAAAAGGAGAAGUCACAUGGACAUAUCUAAGUGAAUUAAAAAAGAAAGUAACUUGGGAGGUGUACUAGUCGGGAAUUAAAGGAACCAAAGUUUGACAGGUACUUGAGAGAGAGGGAACAGAUAAAGUGUAACACCAAUUCUCCCUUCCCCCAGGCAGAGCUAUUUGAACAGUGGAGUCAGAUCUGACUAGAGCUGAAGAGUAAGAGAUAAUCCCCUUCAGUCUCCUUCUUCUUUAGAGGUGGCACUAAUACUUGACGUUAUCAAAGGCUCUUGGAGAUGGGGAUUCCAAAACAUGAAGGCAGAGAUUUCCAGGAUGGUAGAAAGAUGCAAUCUGAGACCUUCCAAAUGCAGUGUGAACAAGGACUCAGGGCAAGAUCAUUUCCAUCCAGCUCACCGAAAGGACCAGACCCGCCUUCGGAAUAACUCUUCCUGUGAGCCCAGCUUCAGUCAAUGUAUUUAUUCCCAGCAUCAUUUUCACGCUUCUAAUUUAAGUCGUAACACUUUUCUGCACCACCUACCGUGUAAGUUUCAGCAGAAGGAAGAGCAGUGGUUAUCUGGGGAUGGUGGUGUUAAAAUACCAUUUAGAAGGGAAGGACUGAUUUUAGCAGUAAAACAAACAAACCAGAAAGCGAUUGAGUUAGAAGAGCUGAAGUGCCUAAGAAACGGGCAGGGGAAGCAAGGCCAGAGAUUUGGCCCCUUUCUGAGUUUGAGCCACCUGGAUUGGGCAUUUUUGCCCAGAGGAAAAAUCCUAUUCUGAGUAAAACCUUGAGAGCUCCUAUAUGAAAUGGGAAUCAGAAGAGACAAGAAAUGAGAGAUAGCAUAAUCCCAAUUUCCUGGAUUUGAGAUGGCAAAGUAGUUGCUGGAAGGAUGUUUAGAUAUCCAUUAAAAGGGCAUUUAUUUCAUCUGACUUCCUUGUUUCUGUUAAUUGCAUCACAGACUCCCCAGUUGCUCAGGCUCAAAGACUUAAUGCCAUCUUAGAAUAUUUUCUCUCUGUUCGUCUGUGAUGUCCAGGCAGUCCCUCAGGCCUGUCUAGUCUCUCCAUAAGGUCUACUGUCUUCAUUCCCUCCUUUCACCUAGUAGUGUCACCACCCUCCUAACCUACUACAGUGGACUUCUUUCUAGACUGGCUACUUUGGCUCUUUGCCUGUUCAAAGGCACUGAGAGAGGCAAGAGAUAUUUCUGACUCCACCCAGCUUAUUUGGCACUCUGAGACAGAUUAAUUUUCUUAAAAUACCACCUUCAUUAGAUUGAUAUAAUGGUAAAUGGACCAGAUCAAGAGUCAGGAUGCCUGAUUUCUAGCCCUGAGCCUACUUUACUUUUCUUUAACCCUUAUCUUCCAUCUUAGAAUUAAUACUGUGUAUUGGUUCCAAGGCAGAAGAGUGGUAAGGGCUAGGCAAAUGGGGGGUAAGUGACUUGUCUAGGGUCACACAGCUGGGAAGUGUCUGAGGCCAGAUUUGAAUCUGGAACCUCUCAUCUCUAGGCCUGGCUCUCAAUCAACUGAGCCACUUAGCUGCCCCUCUACCCUACUUAAAAAAAUUUUUUUUUAUAAAUAAGAGGUUUCAUAUCUUCAUGUUUCUCAUUUUAAAAUGAAGGGACUGGGAGUAGCUAAGUGGCUUAGUGGAGUGAGAAUCAGGCCUAGAGACAGGAGGUGUUGGGUUCAAAUGUGGCCUCAGAUACUUCCCAGCUGUGUGACCCUGGCCAAGUCACUUAACCCCCAUUGCUUAGCCCUUACUGCUCUUCUGCCCUGGAACCAAUAC
ensembl:lncRNA